rnacentral:rRNA from 1 species
CAGCAGCCGCGGUAAUACGAAGGGUGCAAGCGUUACUCGGAAUUACUGGGCGUAAAGCGUGCGUAGGUGGUGGUUUAAGUCCGUUGUGAAAGCCCUGGGCUCAACCUGGGAAUUGCAGUGGAAACUGGGUCACUAGAGUGUGGUAGAGGAUAGUGGAAUUUCCGGUGUAGCAGUGAAAUGCGUAGAGAUCGGAAGGAACAUCUGUGGCGAAGGCGACUAUCUGGGCCAACACUGACACUGAGGCACGAAAGCGUGGGGAGCAAACAGGAUUAGAUACCCCGGUAGUCCCUGUCUCUUAUAC